AACGAACGCUGGCGGCAGGCCUAACACAUGCAAGUCGAGCGCCCCGCAAGGGGAGCGGCGGACGGGUGAGUAACGCGUGGGAACGUACCCUUUGCUACGGAAUAGCCUCGGGAAACUGGGAGUAAUACCGUAUGUGCCCUUCGGGGGAAAGAUUUAUCGGCAAAGGAUCGGCCCGCGUUGGAUUAGGUAGUUGGUGGGGUAAUGGCCUACCAAGCCGACGAUCCAUAGCUGGUUUGAGAGGAUGAUCAGCCACACUGGGACUGAGACACGGCCCAGACUCCUACGGGAGGCAGCAGUGGGGAAUCUUAGACAAUGGGCGCAAGCCUGAUCCAGCAAUGCCGCGUGUGUGAAGAAGGCCUGCGGGUUGUAAAGCACUUUCAGUGGGGAAGAACAGAUUCGGGUCAAUACCCCGGAGCCCUGACGUUGCCCACAGAAGAAGCACCGGCUAACUCCGUGCCAGCAGCCGCGGUAAUGUGUGACUG
rnacentral:rRNA from 1 species